rnacentral:rRNA from 1 species
GGUAAUAUCAGAUAACACCGUGAGAAGGCAUCUUUUUACGUUUAAAGUAGGGGACCGCAAGGCCUUACGAUCAUGGAUGAGUUUGCGUAGCAUCAGCUAGUUGGUAGGGUAAUGGCCUACCAAGGCUAAGACGCUUAGCUGGUCUGAGAGGACGACCAGCAACACUGGGACUGAGACACUGCCCAGACUCCUACGGGAGGCUGCAGUCGAGAAUAUUUAGCAAUGGGCGAAAGCCUGACUAUGCGACGCCGCGUGAGGGAUGAAGGAUUUCGGUUCGUAAACCUCUUUUGGCAGGGAAGAAAAAGUUGCAUUUAACACAUGCAAAACUGACGGUACCUGCAGAAUAAGCCACGGCCAACUCCGUGCCAGCAGCCGCGGUAA